CUGCUCAAAAUGAUAAGUAACUGUUGCAUUAUUCUUAAUGCAUAGUUUUAUGGACAAUGACAAACAAUAUUCCAUGUUUAGAUCAUGAAAGUUUCAACCAAACCUCAGAAGAUCAACCGUGGCCUCAAUCAUCAGAACUUUCCUCAAUGAGAACCGAAUUGAGACUAGGCCAAAUAGGGGAGGCAGAGGCAAAAUUCUGACUGACCAACAAGAGUGGGCUGUGGUCAAUUUGGUUCGGGCCAGAAAUGAUAUUCACCUUCCAGAAAUUCGGCAGCACAUCUCGGACAAUGACGACAUGUUCAACAAUGUGGAAGCCAUAAGUUUGCCGACCAUUGCACGCAUGCUGAAAAGGCAUCAGGUGUCUCUAAAACAGCUAUACCAUGUCCCUUUUGAAAGAAAUGCAGACAGAGUGAAGCAACUGAGGACUGAGUAUGUUCAGAGGGUGAUGGAGCUGGAUGCUGAUGAAAAUCAUCACAAAUUCCUCUUUUUGGAUGAGGCAGGCUCCAACCUGGCCAAGACAAGGAGGAGAGGUCAGAAUUUCAUUGGCCAGCGGGCAACCAUCCAAGUACCUGGACAGCGUGGGGCCAACAUCACCAUGUGUGCGGCUAUAUCGGAAGAUGGUGUGGUGGCACGCAGACCUCGUAUUGGAUCAUAUAAUGCAGCUCUCCUUGUUACCUUCCUUGAUGAGCUAAAUCAGGGCUGUAGAGCUGAUGGCGUGACCUAUGUCAUUGUGUGGGAUAAUGUCAGGUUCCACCAUGCUCAAAUG